UACAGAGGGUGCGAGCGUUAAUCGGAAUUACUGGGCGUAAAGCGUGCGUAGACGGUUAUUUAAGUCGGAUGUGAAAGCCCCGGGCUCAACCUGGGAAUUGCAUUCGAUACUGCAGAGCUAGAGUACCGGAGAGGGUCGUGGAAUUCCUGGUGUAGAGGUGAAAUUCGUAGAUAUCAGGAGGAACACCGGCGGCGAAGGCGGCGACCUGGACGGAUACUGACGCUCAGAUGCGAAAGCGUGGGUAGCAAACAGG
rnacentral:rRNA from 1 species